rnacentral:rRNA from 1 species
AGGGAAAGAGGGAGGCAUGCUUUACACAUGCAAGUCGAGCGGCAGCGCGGGGGCAACCCUGGCGGCGAGCGGCGAACGGGUGAGUAAUGCAUCGGAACGUAUCCUCGAGUGGGGGAUAACCCAGCGAAAGUUGGGCUAAUACCGCAUGAGCUCUGAGGAGGAAAGCGGGGGACCUGCGAGGGCCUCGCGCUGGAGGAGCGGCCGAUGUCCGAUUAGCUAGUUGGUGGGGUAAAGGCUUACCAAGGCGACGAUCGGUAGCUGGUCUGAGAGGAUGAUCAGCCACACUGGGACUGAGACACGGCCCAGACUCCUACGGGAGGCAGCAGUGGGGAAUUUUGGACAAUGGGGGCAACCCUGAUCCAGCCAUGCCGCGUGAGUGAAGAAGGCCUUCGGGUUGUAAAGCUCUUUCGGACGGAACGAAAUGGGCGGGACUAAUACUCCUGUCUGAUGACGGUACCGUAAGAAGAAGCACCGGCUAACUACGUG